rnacentral:rRNA from 1 species
UACGGAGGAUGCGAGCGUUAUCCGGAUUUAUUGGGUUUAAAGGGUGCGUAGGCGGCGAGUUAAGUCAGCGGUAAAAGCCCGGGGCUCAACCCCGGCCCGCCGUUGAAACUGGCUGGCUUGAGUUGGGGAAAGGCAGGCGGGAUGCGCGGUGUAGCGGUGAAAUGCAUAGAUAUCGCGCAGAACCCCGAUUGCGAAGGCAGCCUGCCGGCCCCACACUGACGCUGAGGCACGAAAGCGUGGGUAUCGAACAGG